GCAAUGGAGAACAUUUACAGAGGACUGUGGGUAAAGCAAAGUCUUCAAGGGAAGAUAACAAAGGAUGAAACAAUGGUGUUGUGUGACUUCCUAGUGUGAAUCAUGGCAAUACAGUGAAAGACAGUGAUUUACUGCUUUUGAGGGCGUGCAUGUAUAUGAUUAACGGAUGGAAGUGCAGGACUCCAAGAUUUACUUCCUUCCCUUUCCAGCAGAAUUACCUGAGACGAGUAAAAUCUACUGGUGGAGUCACUCCAUUAUUCUUAUCUGUGGAGAUCUAGAUCUUGAUUUGAAAGUUUCUGAGAAAAUCUUCAGCUCAGACUUGAGGGUCAACUUUACCAGCUGAAGGAUCUGCAUUUACUGCUCAACCACAUCUAAUUUGAUGUCCUCUGCAGAUUUAAAAUGUGUGCCUUCUUUUCCGUCACCAAGUCAUCCCUGGGUUACUACUGAACAUCCUUCUCAAUUCCCCCCGACCCAUGGAUGGCUGUUCUCCAUUGUCUGUUUCACCAGAUGUCCUCAAAACAAACAGACAGAAGAAGGAAGUGGCUAAUGGAGCUGUGGAGUCCAAGUGUGACUGCCAAGAGGAAUCCAGCAAAGCCAAAAAGCCCAAGCAUGUAGCCCUGCCCGAAGCACGCCACACGCAUGGAAAACCCAGAGGAAAUGAGUGAGGAUCAAUGGGAAGAAGAGAGCCAGCCAGGUUCGAUGCCUUCUCCAUCCGUCAGUGAGGGUGUGGAGAGCCUGCAGGCGUGUGCCUCCCUCUGUAACUUGCUAUUCCUUGUGUAAUGUCAAGUGGAAGUGUGAAGCACCACAAACUGCUCUGAGCAGAGCCCACUUCCCUUCACCCACGGAGAGCGUGAAGCAGUUACACCAACAUCAAUCAAGGAAAACCCACAGGCUGAGCUCACACGGUUGAAGCAGCUCUGUAUUCUAAGAACCUGGAAACAAUCUUUAUUCACACUGUUAAGACGAUUGAGAAAAAUGGAUGGAUAGAGUUUAUUUGCUAAGAGAAAAACUGAGUGACUACCUAGCUACCUCACUCCUUUUUGCUCUAUUGGAAGUUGAAGAUUUGUCCAGGAGCAGAUAGCUGAAGAGAGAGAGAGAGAAGAGAGAACGGCUUACAGCUCAGUUCUGGAGACCAGAAGGCCAAAAUCAAAAGUAUGGGCAGGCUUGAUUUCUUUAGAAGACUCCAGCGGAGAACUGUGUCUCCUUGCUUCUGAUUCUACAUCUCCAUCCAUGGGCCACUGUUUCAGCAACCUCAGCCAGUGCAACACAACCUCAGCCAAGAAGAGUAUGCAGAGAAAGGAGUCCCCUACCUGCCACAAAACUGUUGUCUGAAAACUGUCUCAUAUUGUCUCAAGUUGUCAUUCAUUGUGAAUUAGACCUGUUUAACAUGUAAUCUGCAACA
rnacentral:lncRNA from 1 species